UAACAUCCGGAAACGGGUGCUAAUACCGCAUAGUUUCUUGAUCGCAUGAUCGGGAAAGGAAAGACGGCCUUUGUGCUGUCGCUUAUGGAUGGACCCGCGGCGUAUUAGUUAGUUGGUGAGGUAACGGCUCACCAAGACGAUGAUACGUAGCCGACCUGGAGAGGGUGAUCGGCCACCAUUGGGACUGAGACACGGCCCAAACUCCUACGGGAGGCAGCAGUAGGGAAUCUUCCGCAAUGGACGAAAGUCUGACGGAGCAACGCCGCGUGAGUGAAGAAAAGGGUUUUCGGAUCGUAAAACUCUGUUGUCAGAGAAGAACAAGUUGGAGAGUAACUGCUCCAGCCUUGACGGUAUCUGACCAGAAAGCCACGGCUAACUACGUGCCAGCCGCCGC
rnacentral:rRNA from 1 species